UACGUAGGUGGCAAGCGUUAAUCGGAAUUACUGGGCGUAAAGCGUGCGCAGGCGGUUAUGCAAGACAGAUGUGAAAUCCCCGGGCUCAACCUGGGAACUGCAUUUGUGACUGCAUAGCUAGAGUGCGGCAGAGGGAGAUGGAAUUCCGCGUGUAGCAGUGAAAUGCGUAGAGAUCCGGAGGAACACCGAAGGCGAAGGCAGUGUCCUGGGGAGUACCUGACGCUCAGGUGCGAAAGCCAGGGGAGCGAACGGG
rnacentral:rRNA from 1 species